GCUUUCUUGUGGCUCAGUCAGUAGGGCAUUGCGCUAAAAACACAAAAGUAGUGGUUUCAAACCCUAAGAGAAAGCA